GAUUAACGCUGGCGGCGUGCCUAACACAUGCAAGUCGAACGAGGUAGCAAUACCUAGUGGCAGACGGGUGAGUAACGCGUGGUCAACCUACCGUUGAGUGGGGAUAACUAGCCGAAGGUUAGCUAAUACCGCAUACGUCUCCGAGGGGCGAUCCCUUGGCGAUAAAAGGAGCAAUCCGCUCGAUGACGGGACCGCGUCCCAUUAGCUAGAUGGUGGGGUGACGGCCUACCAUGGCACCGAUGGGUAGCUGGUUUGAGAGAGCGACCAGCCACACUGGGACUGAGAAACGGCCCAGACUCCUACGGGAGGCAGCAGUGAGGAAUUUUCCGCAAUGGGCGCAAGCCUGACGG
rnacentral:rRNA from 1 species